GACGAACGCUGGCGGCGUGCUUAACACAUGCAAGUCGAACGGAAAGGCCCUGCUUUUGUGGGGUGCUCGAGUGGCGAACGGGUGAGUAACACGUGAGUAACCUGCCCUUGACUUUGGGAUAACUUCAGGAAACUGGGGCUAAUACCGGAUAGGAGCUCCUGCUGCAUGGUGGGGGUUGGAAAGUUUCGGCGGUUGGGGAUGGGCUCGCGGCUUAUCAGCUUGUUGGUGGGGUAGUGGCUUACCAAGGCUUUGACGGGUAGCCGGCCUGAGAGGGUGACCGGCCACAUUGGGACUGAGAUACGGCCCAGACUCCUACGGGGGGCAGCAGUGGGGAAUAUUGCACAAUGGGCGGAAGCCUGAUGCAGCAACGCCGCGUGCGGGAUGACGGCCUUCGGGUUGUAAACCGCUUUCGCCUGUGACGAAGCGUGAGUGACGGUAAUGGGUAAAGAAGCACCGGCUAACUACGUG
rnacentral:rRNA from 1 species